rnacentral:tRNA from 1 species
GGAAGCGUGCCAGAGAGGUUGAAUGGACCUGACUCGAAAUCAGGCAUACGGGAAACCGUAUCGGAGGUUCGAAUCCUCCCGCUUCCG